CCACACCCUCUACCAUCAAGUUUUUACCUUAGAAUGAGCUUACAAUGGACUGAACCCACUGAAACCAUGAGCCAGGCUCUAAUUCAAAAGAACAUUUAUGGAGGCUGCUUACGGGGAAAGGGAAAAGCGUAAGUCUUUUGUGCUUGUUUCCACAAGAAAUAUCAGCUGCCUUCAGAUUUUGUCUGCGGCAUCAAGAUCACAGCAGUGAGUGCACUGGGAACUGCUCCUGCCCUGGCAGAGCUGACAUCCGGAUGAACCCAAUGUGCCAGUCAGAGAAGACGCAGGAGCCACGGCGCCAGCUUUGGCUUUAAGUGAGUUGAUUUGCUAGAGGACCACACACCUGUAACCCCAGCACUCUGGGAGGCAGAGGCAGGAGGAUCACAUGUUCAAACUCAGCCUAGAUAGAUAACCUAAAUCCAAGUUCUGUUCCUGGAGGACUACAAAUCAAGACAAUCCCCGCUUAAUCUGCCUUACAGAGUAGUUGCCAAGCAAGAGAAAAAUGAUGGCAGUGUAUGUGCUGCAGCAGCGAGCACCCCUGUAUCGGGAAUUGAACUCAGGACCUUAAGCUUGCCAGGAAGGUACGGUGCCCCUGAGGGACAUCCCCCGCCCUCCUUGCUGUGAUUUUUGACUCUGUACAAAUACCGUAUAGGAAAGCAGCUGGCACAUACGGAAAUCUCAUGCCUACCGAGUAAGUCUCCCCCUUUAACAUAAAGGAAAAAGGAAGAGCCCUUCGCUCCUCCAGCUUGGAAAACACAGCCUGUGGGUUUCAGCCCUGCUCCCUAACUUUCAGUCGCCACUCGUGUUCAGGACACGUGAUUCUUCAAUCAAAUACCGAGAAAAAAUCCAAAUGGACCAUUCUCAACUUUCAGGGGAAAUUUUCUAUUUAAAGACAUCCUGUUGUGACCCCGGUGGUAAAGAAUGCUUUCCUAAUGGAAUUAGUCACCACUGACUCAUUUCUGCAACCUUCCUAGUAGCGAUUUUGCCUAAACAAAGAUCCGGUUUAGAGAAGUCAGAUAAAUUACAGAUGACCUUAAUAAAGUAUACAGUACCCAAAGGCAAA